UACGGGGGGGGGCAAGCGUUGUUCGGAAUUACUGGGCGUAAAGGGCUCGUAGGCGGCCAACUAAGUCGGAUGUGAAAUCCCCAGCUUAACCUGGGAACUGCAUCCGAUACUGGAUGGCUUGAAUCCGGGAGAGGGAUGCAGAAUUCCAGGUGUAGCGGUGAAAUGCGUAGAUAUCAGGAGGAACACCGGUGGCGAAGGCGGGGUCUCUGGGC
rnacentral:rRNA from 1 species